CUCCAUAGUGGAUAUGUCCUGGAAUGGUAUAUCCUCGAAAGAUCCGUCGCCUUUAGGAUGGGACUGCGUCCGAUUAGGUUGUUGGCGGGGUAACGGCCCACCAAGCCUUUUAUCGGUACGGGUUGUGGGAGCAAGAUCCCGGAGAUGGAUUCUGAGACAUGAAUCCAGGCCCUACGGGGCGCAGCAGGCGCGCAAACUUUACAAUGCGAGCAAUCGUGAUAAGGAAACCCUGAGUGCCUGUCGAUGCAGGCUGUUCAUAUAUCUAAAUCAUAUGUGAAGAAAGGGCAGGGCAAGACCGGUGCCAGCCGCCGCGGUAAUACCGGCUGCUCGAGUGAUGGCCACUAUUACUGGGUUUAAAGCGUCCGUAGCUUGACUGUUAGGUCUCUUGGGAAAUCUUCGCGCUCAACGUGAAGGCGUCUAAGAGAUACCGGCAGUCUUGGAACUGGGAGAGGUAAACCGUACUUCGGGGGUAGGAGUGAAAUCUUGUAAUCCUCGAGGGACGACCUAUGGCGAAGGCAGUUUACCAGAACAGCUUCGACAGUGAGGGACGAAAGCUGGGGGAGCAAACGGGAUUAGAUACCCCGGUAGUCCCAGCCGUAAACAAUGUGCGUUAGGUGUGUCGGUAACCACGUGUUACUGAUGCGCCGAAGAGAAAUCGUGAAACGCACCACCUGGGAAGUACGGUCGCAAGGCUGAAACUUAAAGGAAUUGGCGGGGGAGCACCACAACAGGUGGAGCCUG
rnacentral:rRNA from 1 species